UAGGGAAUCUUCGGCAAUGGACGAAAGUCUGACCGAGCAACGCCGCGUGAGUGAAGAAGGUUUUCGGAUCGUAAAACUCUGUUGUUAGAGAAGAACAAGGACGUUAGUAACUGAACGUCCCCUGACGGUAUCUAACCAGAAAGCCACGGCUAACUACGUGUCAGCAGCCGCGGUAAUACGUAGGUGGCAAGCGUUGUCCGGAUUUAUUGGGCGUAAAGCGAGCGCAGGCGGUUUCUUAAGUCUGAUGUGAAAGCCCCCGGCUCAACCGGGGAGGGUCAUUGGAAACUGGGAGACUUGAGUGCAGAAGAGGAGAGUGGAAUUCCAUGUGUAGCGGUGAAAUGCGUAGAUAUAUGGAGGAACACCAGUGGCGAAGGCGGCUCUCUGGUCUGUAACUGACGCUGAGGCUCGAAAGCGUGGGGAGCAAACAGG
rnacentral:rRNA from 1 species